CUGGGACAGAACCCUUCCAUCCAGUUUCUGCCUGCACCCUCAGUUGAACUGGUCCUACAGCUCUCUUUUCCCAGCUCUGGCUGUAAGAAAACAGGUCUACAGGAGUGCUGACACAGAGGCUUACAGGACUGUCACUGUCAGAGACAACAAGACAAGCAAAUACCAGAGACAUUCUGAUGGUGAGAAGCAAGCACAGGAAUCUAAGCAACAGAAACCAAGACUACUUGGCAUCAUCAAAGACCAGUUCUCCCAUCAAACCAAAUACUGGAUCUCCAACUAUACUGGAAAAGCAAUACUUGGAUUGAAAAUCACAUCUCAUGAUGAUGAUGGCAGAGUUUAAGAAGGACAUAAAGAAAUACAGGACAGCACAGGUAAAGAAGUAGAAGCCCUUAAAGAGGAAACACAAAAAACCCUUAAAGAAUUAUAGGACAGCACAACCAAACAGGUGAAGGAACUGCACAAAAUCAUCGAAGAUCUAAACAUGGAAAUAGAAACAAUAAAGAAAUCACAAUGAGAGACAACCCUGGAGAUAGAAAACCUAGGAAAGAGAUCAGGAGUCAUAGAUGCCAGCAUUACCAACAGAAUAAAAAAGAAAGAAAA
rnacentral:lncRNA from 1 species